rnacentral:lncRNA from 1 species
UGUAUUCAUGUCAGACCAGCUGGAACUCCCAAAGCAAACAAGAAAUGAUGAUUCCUUGUGGACUUUUAACAGUCCCAUAACAUUUUUCUUGCCUUUUUUGGUUUUCAAAUAAUAUACAACAUUUUUUACUGCCAAUAAAGUUUACUGGAAUUUUCAUGGCUAACGGUCACUCGCGGUGGAAGUGGGAGCCAGGGAUUGAAGCGGACGGGACGCUAUUUUUGGGCUGCUUCUGGCAGAAAUGGCUUCUCCUCCAGCAGAGGAAGGCGCUGCGGCUGCACGGUGCCGUGCAACAGCCAGCCUGCAGCACAGCACUGUGCCCCUGCUCCGCAUGCUUUGAUGCUCAGAGGGCAUGUUUUCAGUGGGAUUCUUUUCAAGGACUUGACAAUUUAUCAUCCCAAAGGAAAAAGAUCUCAUUGAUUUCAUGAGGAUAGGCCCUUUCUGACUGAACCAGCUUUAACACGCCACUUCUGCCACUUCAACCACUUCCUCGCACAGAAGCAACAGAAGAAUUUCAUCAGAUCUAAGGCCAGCAACAAUUUUUCUUCCUGGCUUAGGAACUGGCCUGAAGGGAGGAGAAGGUCCCCGUGAUGUAUUUACGGAACAGGUCAGUUUCUUUUGAGCAUUCAAUUCUUAAACACAGAGCUGGACAGAAGUGGUGUUUUUCCUCAAAUGAUUUUUUUUUUUAAACACAUAAAAUAUGAAGAAUCCCGAGAAUGAAAAUUAAUGUCAGAAAUUGUGUCAAAAAAAAUCAGUUUAACACUGAAAAAUUUGAAUUUUUGGCUGAAACACUGAGUUUUGUGUUUGUUGCUGAAAAGCAAAUGCCAAGGAAAACAGACAAACUGGGAAUGUUUUUGUUUAGUUCAAAACUUUCUGCCUAAGGAGCUGAAAAUUAAGGCUUAGGUGAACCUUUGCAUUCUGCACACAGGAUAUUCAAAUACAAACGCUGCUUGGAACUGAUUUGCUUUAUCUCCUAUUACUGAGUGACUGAACAUCAAAGUGCUCCCAAGUUAAUGGCAAGGGCAUCAGGGUUGCAUGCAGCCCUGAGCUCUAAGCAAGCAAGGCAUGGGCCACAUGGGGACACUUACUGGGCAGUGGCAGCUUGGUGACGGCAGCACCCAGGGCCUGGCCGCUGAGGUUUAGCUCAGCCAAACCAGGAGGGUCCAGGUCAGAACUGGGCAGAAAACAGCAGGCUCUAACCAGCAGGGACCACUUUGCUCCCUGUGCGUAGGAAACCAUUUAUCUGAAGCCUGUCUACCUGAUAAAUGUAUCAAAAAGCAGCUAGACGUACAGUACUGAGCAAGUCCACACUGAAGCCGACCUGGAUGUUGGUAGGCUUCUGCAGCCUCAGCACUUGGCUGGCUUUUGGCACAGCAACCUGGAUCAGUGAGAGCACAACCAGCACCCAGUGCCAUGCUGACUGCAAAA